CCCUGGUCAACUAACCAGGUAACUCACUCCCUGGUCAACUAACCAGGUAACUCACUCCCUGGUCAACUAACCAGGUAACUCACUCCCCUGGUCAACUAACCAGGUAACUCACUCCCCUGGUCAACUAACCAGGUUAACUCACUCCCCUGGUCAACUAACCAGGUAACUCACUCC